UGAACGACUCUGAUGACAAGUUGAAAAUAGAAAGCUAUCCUUAUACCACAUGUUAGAAGCAGAUGUACGUGGCGCCGACGAGACGUCUCACGACCGAUUAAAAGAAGUUAGGACUCGGCAGCCUGGCAAUCAAAUCACGCCUCUCCCUCCCGUUGCUUUAAUCGUCUUCCACCAUUAGUCUAUCCUCCUUCAUCAAAGCUAUGAAAAAUAAAAGAAAAGAAAGGAAAAAAACCCUCUCUUUUGUUCCUGGAAGCUACAGAGCUGAGAAUGGGAAUUCCAUGAGAAAUGAGGGAUGUUUGGGUACAGAGAAGAAGAAAUUCUUUCCUAAUCCCUUCUCCUGCUGAAAACGAGAAAAAAUUGAGGGCUGAGCGAUUCUUUCAAGAAGGAGUUCGUGCUGGUCUCAAGGCUGCUGCCAUUGCCGCUGUAGUUAGUGCUGUGCCUACAUUCGUAAGAUCCCUUGGGCAAGGGCAAACCUCAACCAUACUGCUCAAGCUCUUAUCAUCAGUGGAGUUGUAGCUCCAACCCUUGAAUCAUCCGGUGAAGUGAUUUUUUUUCAUUUAGUACUUCUAGGCCAUGAGUAGCAGGAACAAAUUGCUUUGCACCAAAUUGCCUAAGCCCAAUCAACGGAGCGUAACUCAUAAUACCUUAUAACCCUAACAACGGUAUCCACGGCUCGUUUCCUUCAUGAGACAUCCAAGGCGUCAUCCAUUCAAUUUCAUCCUUGGUAAGCCUUCGUAAGAAAAGGACCUACUCUUAUUUAAUCUUCAAUGUUGGCUUUCGACUUUUGCAGAACUCUUUAAUUGGUGUUUUAUUUUAAAGAUACGGCUUUGAGAAAGUACUCUUCUCGCACUUGAAAUGACUUAUAACCCACACAUAUAAUAGCAAUGUACAUCUUAUGAACUGUGAUUUUUCAUUUUGUCGAUAAAAAUUCAAUGACAUGAUGGUUUCAACUAGGACUACUGGAGUGGGAUUAAUUGUUUGGGUUUCAAUUUGCUAAAAAAAGUCUAUCACAGUUAUUUCAAUGUACCUUAAAGUCUUCAAAAAUAUUAUCAUACCAUACAAUGCUAAAACAAACGCAUCCAUACCUUGAUCAUCAUUUAAAUGUCCCUGAAUGAAGUUUUAAAGAAAGUUCCAACGGAUGCCGAAAUGUUCACCUUUAAGCUUGCGAAUGGAUCAAUGGUUUCCAUUUUAACUCCCAUAAGUUUGAUCAACUUUUUGCGAUAACCUGAUUUCGACUUUUGAGUAAACACUUUAUCUGGACACUGUAGUUCUGUUCCAAGCAAAAUCGAAUACUCUUUAAUAGUUGGCACCAAAUCUUCUUGAUUAAAAGUGAAGCAUUUAUAGGAUGGAUCUCAAAACUGUAUAACUGUCCUGAUCGGUUAUUCAUCGAUCACUACUGGAAUGAGGGAUGCAAUCUGUCUAUAUUUCUUACAAAAGCUUUUUUUUCUUUUUUCAUUUAACUGAUCUUAGAUGAUGGUUAAGUCUUCUAAAUCAUUUUAUGUGAGAUCCAAAUGCACCUUCUCGGGUAACUCAAACACAUGAUCGGUAGGCAAACAAUCUUCACUCUUUUGGUGGGUUUCUUUUGACCAAACAUGUACAUUAUGCGGUUUACAUGAGACACUGACUGAAGAUGAGCAAAUUUAUAGUUCUAUGGGAUCCAUGAAAACUUCUUGGGAGAAAUAUGUCCUCGAGCAA